UUGUUAGUUGAUUAACUCAGGUCUCUCAUGCUGAGGGCAGGCUCCUUGAGGGCAAGCCCGUUUUAUUCAUCUUCAUCUCCUGACCACAUGACUUUUGCAGCAACACAUUAACAUGUAAUACAUAUUCAAAUAUAAUUGUGAAAUGCCGACAUAAUGAAUGAACACACGAGUGAAUGAUGUCACAAGCCAAAUUCGCUUUCCAAUAAAACACCAUUUCUACAUUUUAUUCAAAGAACUCCCAAGGUAUAAAAAGCCAGAGACUUGUUCAAGUUCGUAGAUGGUCAGUCAAGGAGCAGGGCAGAGAAUUUAGGAGUCCUGAGCCCUGGAUAGCUGACAACCGGCCAUCUCUACUCUCCAGGGAGAGCGAGAGGCCAGGAUGGCUGCCGCAUGGAGGCCUGUGCUGUGCGUUUUCUUGGAUUUGUACACUCCCUUUUUUGUUUCAGACUGACUGAGCCAGGGCUUCUGAAAUUUCAGGAGUGAGAGCACCUCUAAGAAAGAGGCAGAACACAGUCAGCACUGCUCCACCUGAAAUACGCCCGCCGGUCCUGUUGUGACCGGGGACCUGUGAUGACACAGAGCCUAUGUUCUGAGUGAGGAUGCGUGUGCGCGUGCUCGGGUGAUGUGCGUGUUACCGCCGGUUCCCACUCCACGCAGGAGCCUGCCUCAGCGCUUCCCAAGCACAUUGGAGCUCUUUACGUGCCCGGCUCUCCUACUAAACUGCGAGUUUCUCGAAGAUGCAGAAACUGAGGCACUGAGAGUGCCAGCAGUGGUUGGUGGUGGGAAUGUCCCCAAGGCAGAGGUGAAUCAAGAUUUGUUCAUAAUGAGAGCUCCGUUGAAAGAAAGAAGAUGCACUGAGUAAGGAAAGCAACAUUGAACACCUGCUCUGCCAGGUCUCAGACCUGAGUGCGUGUCCCCUGGCUGUCAGUGUGCACGGUGACGAGAUGGUGGGAACUGGUUUGACACCAACACGAACCCUUCACCGAAAACUCAACUCAACCCCAGGGAUUUCUGAGCUGUCGAAGAAAGUUUGAUGACUUUCCUUGCUUAACCAGGCCCUGUUAAGCUCCCUUGAGGCUAAGUAAGGAAGAAGGGGCCAUGAAUUUUUUUUUAAACAUCUUUAUUGGAGGAUAAUUGCUUUACAAUGUUGUGUUAGUUUCUGCUGUAUAACAAAGUGAAUCAGCUAUCCGUAUACAU